UACGUAGGGUCCGAGCGUUGUCCGGAAUUAUUGGGCGUAAAGGGCUCGUAGGCGGUUUGUCGCGUCGGGAGUGAAAACUCAGGGCUCAACCCUGAGCGUGCUUCCGAUACGGGCAGACUAGAGGUAUUCAGGGGAGAACGGAAUUCCUGGUGUAGCGGUGGAGUGCGCAGAUAUCAGGAGGAACACCGGUGGCGAAGGCGGUUCUCUGGGACGGUACUGACGCUGAGACGCGAAAGCGUGGGGAGCGAACAGG
rnacentral:rRNA from 1 species